CCUACGGGUGGCAGCAGUGGGGAAUAUUGGACAAUGGGCGAAAGCCUGAUCCAGCCAUGCCGCGUGUGUGAAGAAGGCCUUCGGGUUGUAAAGCACUUUCAGUGGGGAAGAAAGCCUUGGGGCUAAUACCCUCGAGGAAGGACAUCACCCACAGAAGAAGCACCGGCUAACUCCGUGCCAGCAGCCGCGGUAAUACGGAGGGUGCGAGCGUUAAUCGGAAUUACUGGGCGUAAAGCGCGCGUAGGCGGUCUGAUAAGCCGGUUGUGAAAGCCCCGGGCUCAACCUGGGAACGGCAUCCGGAACUGUCAGGCUAGAGUGCAGGAGAGGAAGGUAGAAUUCCCGGUGUAGCGGUGAAAUGCGUAGAGAUCGGGAGGAAUACCAGUGGCGAAGGCGGCCUUCUGGACUGACACUGACGCUGAGGUGCGAAAGCGUGGGUAGCAAACAGGAUUAGAUACCCCGGGUAGUC
rnacentral:rRNA from 1 species